AAAAUAAUUUCCAUUUCCGCAAUCAAAACUCCUCCAAGAAUAUUCACGUUGUGGAAGACAUCUUCGUAAAUGUCGUCAAAGAUGUUUUACUUUCAGGCGAUGUCCUGGAUUAUUACGACACGUUAUCCAACUCUCUUGAUCCAUGAUUACCAAUAGACUGAUGAGUUGAGAUUAUUUACACAAUGUUUUGUACACUUUUAACGAAAUGUUUGUUUUAAAAAAAAUACAUUAUGUAGACUGUGUAAUGAAGCAUCCGGAUUCCGGACGAUUCUAUGGUGACGUAGGAGUCAUGCGCUCAAGUCAGUUCCACCACCACCGGCGCUCGGUUUGUUUACACCGUGUCGCCAAUAAAAGGGCGAAACCGAGCGUUCUCCAGCAGUUGCUCACUGUGCAUCAAACCGUAAAAGAUGGAAUCAACACCGCCGAGAAACCGCCACUCCGAGUCCAUCGAGACAAAAUUGGUGCGCCUGUUUGGACAAUCCCCGGAAAGCCCCUAUCUGGAGCUAUAUGCAUCCCCAUUACCAGGUCUCGUGUCGCCGCUCCCGCCAACACCGUCCCCAGUCCGCAGAAGGGAGAUUCAGGAGGCCCUUAUUAAGAAGCUGGGAACAAGCCCCAUAUUGGCAAGCCCGACAGCCUGGCUGGAAUCCCCGAAAACUCCGGUGCAGUUUUCCCCGGAACCGGAAAAACCCGUUACCCCUGGCAAAAGCAUCGCCCAGGAGGUUCUGGACGUUUUCCGGUCGAAGCCAAGGAUACUGCCGAAAAUUCCACCGGCGCCGGAACCGAUCAACCUGGCAGUCCCACUUUGGACUUUCCGGCCAGCGGGUAAUACAGAGGGGCGAUGCCGAUUCAGAUUCCCGACAACCACCGGCGGCUUCCGAUGGGUCCUCCUGCCACCGAGACCGAAGACGGCGGACAAGGCGACGGGCGUAUCCGGCAUUACGUCAUGCCGUUUCUGAAGAAAGGGGGGGGUGUAAUGAAGCAUCCGGAUUCCGGACGAUUCUAUGGUGACGUAGGAGUCAUGCGCUCAAGUCAGUUCCACCACCACCGGCGCUCGGUUUGUUUACACCGUGUCGCCAAUAAAAGGGCGAAACCGAGCGUUCUCCAGCAGUUGCUCACUGUGCAUCAAACCGGUGAGUAACUCUGGGGGUCGAGCCGUGCAUCAAACCGGCAAAACCUUCUCCGACGAGUGGUGCUUGCUGCGCAUCAAACCAGCACACCAUCUCCACCGACCCGACCGACCUAGAGCUCCGACGAGUGGUGCUUGCUGCGCAUCAAACCAGCACACCAUCUCCACCGCCCAGACCGACCUGGGGCUUGGUAGGGAAAUUACGACCGAGGACAACCGUGUAAAUAGUGUAUAUAGUUAGGGAUAGUUAUUAUUAUUACUUUUAUUUAUCUUGGGGAUUUGUUAUUUUUAUUUGUACAGUUUGAUAGAAUAAAUAAUUGGUUUGAGUUAGAAA